CAAGGUGAGGGGAGAUUUUUGCUGAAGGCAGACCAGGGCAGCGUGACCAGAUAUCAAAGCAAAUACAUCAGCACCAGCUGAAGAAGAAAGGGAAGUAGAUAUGGAGCACUGCAAAUUUGCUUCUGCGCAAAAGGAAAAGGCAGCUGAAAAACAGUUUUGGCAAAUUAAAUUGCAAAUGAUUCAGCCCCAUCAAGCUAGUCAAUGAGAAAAAAAAAGGACAAAUUUUUAUUCCGACAUGAAAAUUGCAGAGCCGGAGGAAAAUUGAAGACUAUUAGUUAACAGUUUAAAUGAAUCAAGACAAAUUUUUUUCAGAUAGUUUUCUAACACCUUAUAGUACUUCCAAGUUGACUAAUUGAGUAUUUAUUGACCUAUAAAUUUUAUUUAACUUAAUCUGUAAUUUAAAAUUUUAUUAUUUUAUUUAUUUUAUUAUUUUAUUUUGAGAUGGAGUCUCUCUCUGUCGCCCAGGCUGGAGUACGGUGGCACGAUCUCGGCUCACUGCAACCUCCACCUCCUGGGUUUGAGUGAUUCUUGUGCCUCAGCCUCUGGAGUAGCUGGGACUACAGGUGUACACCACCAUGCCUGUCUAAUUUUUGUAUUUUUCAUAGAGAUGGGGUUUUGUCAUGUUGGCCAGGUUGGUCUUGAACUCCUGACCUCAGGUGAUCUGCCUGCCUCAGCCUCCCAAAGUGCUGGGAUUACAGGUAUUUUCUAUUUUAAAUGCACUUCUUGCUUUUCAUUUGCUAACCUCUAUAUUUCUUAAAAAAAUCCCAUUAGUGGAAGGAUUCAGAUAUUCUCUGCCUUCCAUGUUAUUUUCUUUAUAUUGAGCAAACAGAUUUCGUAAUAAAUACUUAACUGAUAAUCAUAAUAACUAGGACUGACUAUACUAUAAAAUCUUCAAUAUGAGAUUGGGAACUCAUUUUAUCUUGCUAUAUAUCAGUUUCCUAAUUUGUAAAACGAAGAUAGUAAUAACUCACCUUCAUUAUCCUAGAGGAUGUUGGUAAGAUACAAGAGAAACAAAAUGCUUUCAUACGUACAAAUUAAAGCACUCCCCAUGCAAUAGCAAAGUGAUGUGGGUUUUUUUAAUUUGUUUUGUGUUUUUUUCAAAUAUAUUUCCAAAUUUUAAAUCCCUUGGAGCUCUAAGUCACAAAUGGCUCAUUCUUGAAGCCUCCAAUUACUUUUCCAGAUCUCACUGAGCAGUCCUACCUUUGAGCUCUGGCACCAUUCAACACUUAUUAACACUUAAUGUUAAAGAGACAAAUGAUUCACAUUUUUCAAAAGAAAAUAUUUAUAUGAAACUGCAAGUCUUUCGAAAAUAUAUGGCUUGAAUGCUACAAUUAUAAUGUUAAAAUUAUAUUAAAAUGGAAAUGAAUCAAAAAAUCUUCUAAUUAGGGAACUGAGAAUUACAUUAGGGGACCAAUGCUGAAUUACAUUAGAGGACCAAUGUUGAGUGUUUCUAAGGAGGCUGUUUCUAAACCAAGCAACCUGAUGACCAUCUAUGUUAUGUUAAAAGAUUCCAAAGUUAAGGAUAAGGCACAUAUAUAAUUGAUACAGGAGACGGACAGGGAAGUGCUGGGUAGAGAAGAGUGGGGUCACUAGUGAGGGCUCCACCCUUGGGCCUGUGCCCUCGGACGUAAGAGAGAAUAGGCACUCAUGUUUUCAUGUCCACAUGUUGCAUUUUCAAAGACCAUUCUGGCUAACCACACCCCUCAUCCUGUGCCCAUAUAAACCUGAGACCUUAGCGGUCACACAUACAAGUGGCUGAACAUCAAGAAGAGCAGAGGAACAGAGUGGCAGAACAGUGGGGAGGAUCGCCUUCCCACUCCAUCGUCCCUUUCCAGUUCCCCACCCAUCCAGCUGAAAGCCACUUGCACCACUCAGUAAAACCUCACAUUUAGCCUUUGAGUCCGUAUGUGACCCGAUUUUUUCUGGGAAGCUGGACAAGAGCUCGGGACACAGAAACCUGUCACACUUGCCCUCUGUCCUUGCAAAAAGGCAGAGGGUCCAUUGAGCUGAUUAACACAAAAACUGUCUACAGAUGGCAAAGCUGAAAGAGCUUUGUAACAAUGGGGUCGCAGGCACCCACUCCUAGACGCUAGCCGGAGAGCUUGCUCCAGUCUCUGCACCUGCCUGUCUGCAAGCUCCCACUUCCUCAAGGGGUUUGAACUGUGGGGUGACAGAACAGGUGGGCCACACCUCUGUUGCACGUCCUGUGAGGGGAACCAAGGAACUCUCCCAUUUCAUAAUGGUUGUCUAUACCAGUGUUGACUCAUCUUAAAAGCUGAAAAUGUUUGCUAACCCAUAGAGUAUAUGGUAGAUUGUUUUAUUUGUUUAGUGUGCUUCCUUUCUUUCCUUCUUGCCAUGCUUCCCUUUAGGUAAAUUUUUUAAUGGCCUCGAGAUAAACAUGCUCUUAUUCUCGUGUUAUUUGGGAGAAAAUAUGGUCUUUGAAGAGUCAAUUAAGAAUCUUGAGUUUGGGAGAUUAUUUUGGGUAAUCUUGUGUAGAGCCUUAAAUGCCAUGUAUAAGAGGAAGACAGCAGGAGAUUUGAUGUGUACAUACAAAGAAGUCAAUGUGAAGACAAAGACAAAGGCUGGAGUGAUGUGGCCACAAGCCUAGGAAUGCUGACAGCCCUCAGAAACUGAAAGAGGCAAAGAACAGUUUCUUCCCUAAAGCCCCUGGAGGGAUUGCUGCCCAGCCAACAUAUUGAUGUCAGCUCCAGGACACUGAAUUCAGACUUCUGUCCUCUGGAACUGUGGGAGAACAAAUUUCUGUGAUUUUAAGCCAUCCAGUUUGUGGUAAUUUGUUAUGGCAGCUAUAGGAAACUAAUACAGAAACUACACUUUCCUGCUUCAUUGAUUUUGUACUUGGCCCUGUGACUUGCUUUGGCUAAUGGAGUAUGAGCAGAUGUUUAUAGAUGUCAUGUCCCAGCAGAAACUUUAAAUGCUUUUUUUAGCUGCCUGUCUUAUUCCUGUCCUCCUUCAUUAGAACAUAUCCCAGGUAGAGGGAUAUCUGGAAACUUCAGUCUGAGUUUCAGAAAAAGAAACACAUGGAUUGAGGCCCAGCCAAGUGCAAUCAAGCACAACCAAGCCAACAAGUUAAGCCAAGAUUAGAUGAACCUAGCAGAACUACAGCAUAUCUGGGCUGGGCAUGCGGUGGCUCACGCCUGUAAUCUCAGCACUUUGGGAGCCCGAGGAGGGCAGAUCACAAGGUCAGGAGAUCGAGACCAUCCUGGCUAACACAGUGAAACCCGUCUCUACUAAAAAUACAAAAACAAAAUUAGCCGGGCGUGGUGGCGGGCGCCUGUAGUUCCAGCUACUCGGGAGGCUGAGGCAGGAGAAUGGCGUGAACCCAGGAGGUGGAGCUUGCAGUGAGCCGAGAUCUCGCCACUGCACUCCAGCUUGGGCGACAGAGCCAGACUCCGUCUCAAAAAAAAAAAAAAGAACUACAGCCUAUCUGUGGUCCUCAUGUAAUGUGAACAAGAAAUAAAUAUUGUCAUAAAAUAUAAAGAUUUUGGUGUUACCUAUUGCUCCAGCCAAAGGUGAAUAAUAGUACAUAUCAUCAACCGUUGAUGAAUAUUGUACUCCCUCUUUUUGUUUUAAUUUAUUAUUAUUAUUUUUUAAAAUUAUCCUUUAAGUACAGAGAUGUUUUUUCUAAUUAAAUGUUGUCUUUCUGCUGCCAUUCUCUAGUGUAAUGAAUAUUCAGCAUUCUCAAGAUAAUAGGCCCUGAAGUGCUUGAAGGAGAGUAAUAAUCAUUUCCUAGUCUUCCCUUCUUUAUCAUAAUUGACCCCAACUUUAAAAAUAUUCCCCAAUUUUAACAAUGUUUUAUUAUUCUGAUAGUCUGGGAUGGUAAUAUCUCUCUGGAGAUGUGGAAACUCUACUCUUUAUUUACAUUUGUGACCAUAACUAGACAGCUUAGUUUAUAUUCAAAGAUAUCUAAAAGACAACAGAUGAAGCAUUUCUUCACUUAUAGCAUAUACUUUUCUUUCUUCAUUUUUUUUGUUCCAACUUUCAUUUUUCUUUUUCAGAUCUCCACAUUCAACAAUUCUGAUUCUUCCUAAAAUCUAUUUUCUUUUCCUUCAAAAUUUAUUUUUCAAUUUCUG
rnacentral:lncRNA from 1 species